rnacentral:lncRNA from 1 species
UCUAAGAAACAACAAUAUGAUCGCAUAACCUAAAUAAACAUCCAAUUACAUUACUCACUAUACAUAAGAUUUGCACACCUCAAUUAACAAGUAGAUGCAUAUUAAACUAGUAGUAAUGAUCAUCAACACAUCUAUACUUCUUGUGAUGACCGGUGCUAGUCGGCGCAGGACGGAGGCACUUCCUCACGUUAAUGAUCCGCUUGCAGAUCUCGUAGCUUAUGUACACUUCCUUGGUCGCGUACUUUACGUGAUCUACAUCUAGUGUUC